rnacentral:rRNA from 1 species
UACGAAGGUGGCUAGCGUUGUUCGGAUUUACUGGGCGUAAAGCGCGUGUAGGCGGACUUGUAAGUUGGGGGUGAAAUCCCGAGGCUCAACCUCGGAACUGCCUCCAAAACUACAAGUCUGGAGCAAGAUAGAGGCAAGUGGAAUUGCGAGUGUAGAGGUGAAAUUCGUAGAUAUUGGGAAGAACACCGGUGGCGAAGGCGGCGAGCUGGCCUGUACCUGACGCUGAGGCGCGACAGCGUGGGGAGCAAACAGG